rnacentral:lncRNA from 1 species
CGGGUGGCCCGUGGCGUCGGCUGCUUCGGGCCCUGAUUCUGGAAAGGGGCCUGUAGGGCCCCGCGCCCUGGUUGCUGUCCCUUCCCACAGGCGCCUGGUUGAUGCCAAAGUCUUCUCUCUGCGCAGUAGCUCUGGCGGUUUCCUCCUGCAGGGUGCAUCUGUAGAGGAGAGGCUUGAGAAAAAGGAGGAGCAGGACAAUGGCCUGGAUUUCUGGAGGCCUACUUUAAAGCUGCUCACUUCUGCAAGGAAGGAAAGGAGAAGGAGAGUGGAUCAAAUCUCUGGAGGACAGCCUGCUCUCUGCUAUAGGGCUUAAUACCACUGAAACAAAGCAAGGAGGGAGAAAUCGCAACAUAUCCGUGCAGGUUGGUAUGAGAGUGGGUACAAAUUUGGGUGGGGAAGUGGAGAUCAAUACUCGUCCACGAGUGAUUAGGGUCUAGUCUAG